AUUGAACGCUGGCGGCAUGCCUUACACAUGCAAGUCGAACGGCAGCGCGGACUUCGGUCUGGCGGCGAGUGGCGAACGGGUGAGUAAUACAUCGGAACGUGCCCUGUUGUGGGGGAUAACUAGUCGAAAGAUUAGCUAAUACCGCAUACGACCUGAGGGUGAAAGUGGGGGACCGCAAGGCCUCACGCAGCAGGAGCGGCCGAUGUCUGAUUAGCUAGUUGGUGGGGUAAAGGCCCACCAAGGCGACGAUCAGUAGCUGGUCUGAGAGGACGAUCAGCCACACUGGGACUGAGACACGGCCCAGACUCCUACGGGAGGCAGCAGUGGGGAAUUUUGGACAAUGGGGGCAACCCUGAUCCAGCAAUGCCGCGUGUGUGAAGAAGGCCUUCGGGUUGUAAAGCACUUUUGUCCGGAAAGAAAUCGCGCUGGUUAAUACCUGGCGUGGAUGACGGUACCGGAAGAAUAAGCACCGGCUAACCACGUGCCAGCCGCCGCAGUAA
rnacentral:rRNA from 1 species